AGUUGGAAUAUAGUGGUGAAAACUUGAGCUAGAGGAGCAUCAGAGAUCAAGAGAUGAGGAUACCAAGGCCUUGACAAAUGAAGUUAUUUGCCUCGGGUCACACGUCUAAGUUGGAGUGCAGAGACAAGAAGGUGAAGAAGGCCUGAAGAAAUGUCUGUGGUGGGCGCUGGGGUAAGAAGGCUCAGAGUCCGCACAGAAGACAAGGGUUCAGACUUCUCAUCUGCUGCUCUGGCUUCCAUAUCUUUGUCCAGUCUCUUCCCUUUGCUUUUUCCUCGUUGGUUAUUUCAAGAAAUUACAUGGUCUAAGGGAGACCAAGAAUGAAAGAGAGUGAGUAAAUAAGAGUGAAUGAGAGAGAGAAUGAAACAAAAAAGGGCAAAUAAGAGUAAGGAAGAGAGGAUGAAGGAGGGAGGGAGGAAAAAAGGGAGGGAGAGAGAGAGAAAAGAGAGAUCAGUCUUUGAAGCCUCCAGACUUGGUUUGAAUCGUUGCUUUUACUAUCGGUACAAUUUUUAGUAAAGCUCCCUGACUCAGUUUCCUCAUAUGUACAAUGAGGGUGGGACUACUUAUAAGAGUGUUGUGAGGAUCAAAUAAAAUAAUGUUACGCAUUUCCUGCCACCCAAUGGGCAUUCAAUAAACCUACCACUUCCUCCCUCCCUCCCGUCCUUCCUUCUUUCCUUGUUUCCUUCCUUUCUUCCUUCCUUCCUUCCUUCCUUUUUUUUGCCUCUCCAUUCCCUCCUUCCUCUCUCCCUCAACAAGCAUCACCUAAACCCCAGGUACAGUCCAGGACAUCUCUGCAGACAUUACUAGUUUAGUCCUUGAAACAACUCAUGAAUUACACAGUAUUAUAUUCUCAUUUUGCAAUGAGGCCUAGCGAGAGGACAUUGUAAACUAGGAUCACCCAGCAAGUGAC